AAACAUUUCAGGCAGAUGAUGCAGGACAUUGGUCAGCAGUUAACACCGAAAGGUCUUAUCUCCUCUUGGUUAAUAUUCAUGAAUAUGCUGCUGUGUCUCAGAAUAUGUUCAUGUUGGAAAAGUAACUAAAAACUACAUUACACUAAUUAUAUUUUAAUAGAUUUCAGCCUCAUUCAAGAUGAAAGGCGGGACAGAUGUCCUCCCAGGUAUAAUAGUGUUGUUUGAUCAAAGACUAAUGAAAAACAGUCCUGGAUGCAAUCAACAAAGUUUAAAUUCUUAUUGCAAAAAUCACUUUCCUCCACAAAAUGUCCAUCCUUCCCUAAAUCAGCAGUGGAAUCCACAAGUGUUUAUUUUGUAAUUUUCAAAAUCCAUGACAACUUUAGUUAGAAAUCUGAUGUUAACACUGAGCAGUGCCCAAAAUUCAGAUUACCAGUUGGUUAAGUUCAGAUUUCAAAAACGAAUUCAGCUUAAAUUGUUUUGUGUUAGCUCUUUGCAUUAGCUGUUAGUAUUAGCUGUUAGCAUUAGCUCUUAGUAUUAGCUCUUAGAAUUAGAUGUUAGUAUUAGCUCUUGGUAUUAGCUGUUAGUAUUAGCUCUUAGAAUUAGAUGUUAGUAUUAGCUCUUAGAAUUAGCUGUUAGUAUUAGCUCUUAGUAUUAGCUGUUAGUAUUAGCUCUUAGAAUUAGAUGUUAGUAUUAGCUCUUAGUAUUAGCUCUUAGAAUUAGAUGUUAGUAUUAGCUCUUAGUAUUAGCUCUUAGAAUUAGAUGUUAGUAUUAGCUCUUAGUAUUAGCUGUUAGUAUUAGCUCUUAGAAUUAGAUGUAUUAGCUGUUAGUAUUAGCUCUUAGAAUUAGAUGUUAGUAUUAGCUGUUAGUAUUAGCUCUUAGUCUUAGCUCUUAGAAUUAGAUGUUAGUAUUAGCUCUUAGUAUUAGCUGUUUGUAUUAGCUCUUAGAAUUAGUAACAGUGACCGGCCUGACCUCUACAUAUCAGCAUUGGUAUCUGCAAAAGGAAAACCAUUAUCGGUCGACUUCUAUGCGCUUCACAACACAAUCAGUCAUUCACACGCUGGUGGUGAUGAGCUGCGAUGUAGCCACAGCUGCCUUUGGGCGCACUGACAGAGGUGAGGCCUGCUGGACACUGGCACUGACAAGAUUGCUGCCAAUAAAAGCAUGUUGAAGAAUAAUCUGGUGCCAUAAUCUGCUUUUUGGUGAAUGUGGAGCACAAGAGUGAUGACACAAAUUGUCCAGACCACAUCUACUGAACAGUCUGAGAUCAACACAGCCUUGCCCUCCAGCAUCAUCAGCAGCAGCAAGAGGAGUGACCCUGCAACAGCUACAUUGUACCCCAUCAUCAGGUAAAAUAGGACAGCAAUAGAUCAGGAGGUGGAGCAGGUUGUCCAGUAAUAAGAAGGUUGCAGGUUUGAUCCUGACUUCAAUCAGAGAUUGAUGCUGUUGUGUCCUUGGGCAAGACACUUAACCUGCUUUGCCUGCUGGUGGUGGUCGGAGGGACUGGUGGUGCCUGUGCUCAGCAGCUUCACCUCUGUCAGUGCGCUCCAGAGCAGCUAUGGCUACAUCAUAGCUCAUCACCAUGUGUGUGUGUUAAUGUGUGUGUGUGAAUGACUGAUCGUGUUGUAAUGUGCCUUGGGGGGUUGUACAACCCUAAGAAGGCAUUAUACAAAUACAGACCAUUUACCAAAACAAGUUACUUUUGCUUUACAUUGUCCUUAUGUGGUAAGGGUGUAUAUAAUGAUUCGCUUCCAUUUUGAAUUUCUAAUAAAUAUGAUUUGUUAUUCAGCCGGGUAUACUGUGGUUAUGUCAUGGUGUUUGAAAAUAUUAUUCUGUGUGCCCCUUUUUAAAUUUGAGCACCCGCCCCUUCAAAGGUCUCUGCACAGCCCUGCAGGUAACACGUGGAUUUCAGUUGUUUGUCUGAUAAGGUUGUUGCUCAUUAACAUCAGCAGCUCAUUUUGACACACAGGACUUGUGUAGGAAUGAUUCUUCUACAGCCAGCUUGCCAGAUUGAGGUCAUUCUCAGCCUUCUCAUCCAGAUGCUGCUUGAAGUUUCCAUCAUCGUUGUCAUGACCUCUGAGAGCUAGGCCCUGUUUUGCAAGCAAUUAUGUGUGCCCUACUACCAGCGUGCCUGUCAAAUGACUCCCUAGCCUUCUUCCAGUUUCUGAACCCCUGAGAAAUAAAGGACUGUAAUUGAGCCAGGGGAAGAUUUUGAACCAGCUCUCCUGGAAGUGGAGUGCGGUUCAGCAGAGUUUGUGGCUCAGUUAGCUGUGCUGCUGGUUGGUAAGGGGAACUUAGACCCUCAGCUGUAUGGAUCUCCUGGUUUGCAUGUGGAGGGUUAUCCUGCUUCCCCGCAUCAGUAGCUGAUGACUCGACCUAAAAUGUAAUUAUUCAAUUGUCAUUAGUUUCUUUACAUAGUUCUCAGAAAUGGGCUGCGCAGUGGUUAGAGCUAUUGCCUUGCAGCAAGAAGGUCCUGGGUUCGCUUCCCAGCCUGGGAUCUUUCUGCAUGGAGUUUGCAUGUUCUCCCUGUGCAUGUGUGAGUUCUCUCCGGGUUCUCCGGCUUCCUCCCACAGUCCAAAAGCAUGACUGUUAGGUUAAUUGGUCUGUCUAAAUUGUCCUUAGGUGUGUGUGUGUGUGUGCAUGAUUGUUUGUCCUGUGUGUCUCUGUGUUGCCCUGCGAUGGACUGGCUCUCUGUCCAGGGUGUACCCCGCCUACUUGCCCGUUUACUGCUGGAGAUGGCCCUGCGUGGACAAAGCGGGGUCAGAAGAUGGAUGGAGAGUUCUCAGAAAUGUUUUGAUUCUACACAGUGUUCUCCAACUGGUCUAUUGCCAUUACGUUAUAUACACAACUUACUUUUCUGUUUGUAUUUUAGUAGUAAUUGUAGUGUUGUAGAUCUGUUGUUUUAAUCAAAUCUGUUUUCUUUCCACAUAUUUGUACAAGUUGAACCAAUGCAAAGCCCUGCAAAAACUUACAUAUGUUUGCUUCCUGAACCCUCACCUGCUGAAUCUGAUCUGAGCUUGUUUCAACACUCUCCAUUUUUUCAUCCAGUGAUUGUGCUUGCUGUUAGAGUAUACCAAAGUUGGUUUCAUAUUUACUGUAAGGUUAUGUCUGAUUUUCUGUUGAUGUGAAGUUCACCUCUGCAUUCUCAGCUGCCUGUUCCAGCGUGUCUUCAUUUUCCUCUGUCGCAUGCUGUUCCUGAUAGAAAAUGGGCAAUAAAAUAAACAUUACAACUUGUGUGAUUUAAUUUUGUUUUUAUUUUGCUAAUGCAGCAUAGACUGACUUAAUUAGUUUUGGUUUUGUUGGAAAAGUUUAGGUUCUUUGGGUGUCCAUUAGUUGGUAUCCAAAAAGGAGACUCUCCUGAAGCGCUGAACUUGUGUUGUUUACUUGAAGAAAGCUUUUGACUUUAAAGUGUGUCGGUUCUAUGUGGUUAGAAAAUAUAAAUAACUUCAGCUAGGCCAAUAAGUCAAAAAGAAAAAAAAAAUAAUAUUCUGUAGAAAUAACUUAACGGUUUAAAAGAUACCCUGAAACAAAUUGGUCAGUCAUAUGGGACAAAAAUCUGAAUUUUUUUUUUUUCAAAUAUAUAAUAAAACAAAACGCUCUAAGACACAUGUGACUCUAGGGGGUGCUGAUUCCUACUGAACAAACGUGCUAUUUUUGUAUCAAUGCCAUCAAAAUCCGAUUUAAGGUUAACAGUUUUGCAAGGCUAUGGAAGGGCUGGUUAAGGUAAUGUAAGGGGCUUAGGGUCACUUUUACACCCCAAAACUUUAUUCUGAGACAUUCAUUUACACACUUCAACCUAAAAUUUUAUCCCUCUUAAUACUUUUUAAUUAUGGAUGGGUCAUUUUACAUAAUAGGACCAUUUGCUAGAUGGGGACCUAGUUGGAAUUAGUUAAACAGCACCACUCAGUGACAGGUGCAACACCUGGAUGUUAGGCUACUGCAACCUCCUUUCAGAACCAUCCACUUGAGCAGGUCGGGAGUAUAUCACAGGGCUGUGCUGUCGUGUUUAUGUAUUGUAAGUUGAAAUCUUCUGAAAAACGAUGAAAAGCAAGACAUUUCAUCAAUCUUUGAAAUCUUCGCAGAUGUCCCUAAUAGCACGAAAAGCAAAAAUGUCACGGAAAAAGAGGUUUGGUCACCUAGCAUAAACUGCAUGGUUUUUAACUGUUAUUGCUGCUAGCUAACUGUUACCAGUAGAUGAGAGAAACAUUGCCCUCUUUCAU